CAUGGACGAAUGUUUUCUAUUCGGGCUCGGUUGAUCAUCGAUCUAUCAACGGUGUGAGGUAACGCCUCCAACCACAUCAGUUGGAUGGUGUCCCCAACACCGCCCCUUCUCCGUCAAAAGAGGGCGCCAUCCAAUCCAUCAGCCUCUUAGCGAGCGUGAAGGGCUUCAUCUGGUGGGAUCCAUGUCUCUCGAUCAAUCAAAUUUUGUUAACUUUUUUCUUUUUGUUAAU
rnacentral:lncRNA from 1 species